rnacentral:rRNA from 1 species
GAUGGACGCUGGCGGCGUGCCUAAUACAUGCAAGUCGAGCGAACGGACGAGAAUUUUGCUUCUCUGAUGUUAGCGGCGGACGGGUGAGUCACACGUGGAUAACCUAUCUAUCUGACUUGGAUAACUUCGGGAAACCGGAGUUCAUACCGGAUAAUAUUUCGAACCGCAUGGUUCUAGAGUGAAAGACGGUCUUGCUGUCACUUAUAGACGUAUCCGCGCUGCAUUAGCUAGUUGGUAAGGUAACGGCUUACCAAGGCAACGAUGCAUAGCCGACCUGAGAGAGGGAUAGGCCACACGGGAGCUGAACCGCGGACCAGACUCCUGCGAGAGGCAGCAGAAGCGAAUGGGCGGCAGUGGGGGAAAGUAUGACGGAGCGAGGGCGCGUGAGUGAUGGAGGUGUUCGGAUCGUAAAACUCUGUUAUGAGGGAAGAACAUAUGUGUGAGUAGAUGUGGACAUAGUGACGGUACCUGAUGAGAAAGCCACGGCUAACUACGUG